rnacentral:rRNA from 1 species
UACAGAGGGUGCGAGCGUUGUCCGGAAUCACUGGGCGUAAAGGGUGCGUAGGCGGCGCGGUAAGUCGGGUGUGAAAUCUUGGAGCUUAACUCCGAAACUGCAUUCGAUACUGCCGUGCUUGAGGACUGGAGAGGAGACUGGAAUUUACGGUGUAGCGGUGAAAUGCGUAGAUAUCGUAAGGAAGACCAGUGGCGAAGGCGGGUCUCUGGACAGUUCCUGACGCUGAGGCACGAAGGCCAGGGGAGCAAACGGG